rnacentral:tRNA from 1 species
UCCCUGAUGGUCCAGUGGCAAAGACUCUGCUCUCCCAAUGCAAUGGGGGCGGGUUCGAUCCCUAGUCAGGGAA